rnacentral:rRNA from 1 species
GACGAACGCUGGCGGCGCGCUUAACACAUGCAAGUCGAGCGAUGAAAUUUCGACAGAUCCCUUCGGGGUGAAGAUGAAAUGGAUUAGCGGCGGACGGGUGAGUAACACGUGAGUAACCUGCCUUAGACAUUGGGAUAGCCUCGGGAAACCGGGAUUAAUACCAAAUGAAAUCACAUAUGCACAUGCAUAAAUGAUCAAAGCUCCGGCGGUCUAAGAUGGACUCGCGUCCCAUUAGCUAGUCGGUGAGGUAACGGCCCACCAAGGCGACGAUGGGUAGCCGGCCUGAGAGGGUGAACGGCCACAUUGGAACUGAGAAACGGUCCAAACUCCUACGGGAGGCAGCAGUGGGGAAUAUUGCACAAUGGAGGGAACUCUGAUGCAGCGACGCCGCGUGAACGAAGAAGGCUUUCGAGUCGUAAAGUUCUUUUAUAUGGGAAGAUAAUGACGGUACCAUAAGAAAAAGCCCCGGCUAACUACGUGCCAGCAGCCGCGGUAAUACGUAGGGGGCUAGCGUUGUCCGGAAUCACUGGGCGUAAAGGGUUCGCAGGCGGAAAUGCAAGUCAGGUGUAAAAGGCAGUAGCUUAACUACUGUAAGCAUUUGAAACUGCAUAUCUUGAGAAGAGUAGAGGUAAGUGGAAUUUUUAGUGUAGCGGUGAAAUGCGUAGAUAUUAAAAAGAAUACCGGUGGCGAAGGCGACUUACUGGGCUCAUUCUGACGCUGAGGAACGAAAGCGUGGGUAGCAAACAGG